GGACGGUGGGUCCCCAGGAGCAGGGUUGAAGACUUCUGUUUUAAAAUGCAGCUGCUCAUGGAAAAUGUGUCACCUCCACAACCACUGGCAAACAGGAGCUGACCAAAAACAUGUGUGUCAAAGAAUUUGAAGUACUGAAAAGCUGCUUUCUAUCAGCUGCAAAAAAGGGAGUAAAGUGAAGAACAUAAGGAAUAAAUAUCAUGCUAACCUUGACAGUGUUGGAAAUCAUUAUAAUUAACCAGUGAAACAUUUCUGGGGAUAAAUAUCGUCUUUUUUUUUUUUUAAUAGUAUCUUUUGCCAUUUUUCUCUCUCUGUAAAUAUACAUAAAUAUACAAUAAUGUGUUUCAAAUGGAUAAUUGUUUUGUGCAGAAAACCACAAUGUGACCACAAGUGAAAUCAUAAUUCUAUCCUUUGUUCAGCCAUAACAUUAUAAUA